rnacentral:rRNA from 1 species
UACGAGGGGGGCGAGCGUUGUUCGGAAUUAUUGGGCGUAAAGCGCGCGCAGGCGGUCUUUUAAGUCUGAUGUGAAAGCCCACGGCUCAACCGUGGAAGGUCAUUGGAAACUGGAAGACUUGAGUGCAGAAGAGAAGAGCGGAAUUCCACGUGUAGCGGUGAAAUGCGUAGAGAUGUGGAGGAACACCAGUGGCGAAGGCGGCUCUUUGGUCUGUAACUGACGCUGAGGCGCGAAAGCGUGGGGAGCAAACAGG